AUGAGUUCUACUUGUGUUUUGUGUAUUUUUAGUGCUAUGUGUUGAUUGUGUUAAAUUCGAGGACGAAUUUGUAAUUAGUUGGGGAGAAUGUAAUAUCCCGUAAAAAAUUUGAAGUUUAUUUUAUAAAUUCUCGGUAUUAAAUUGUGUCGUUUUCGGUUUAGAAUUUAGUUUAGUAGUUUUAUUUGAAUUGGGUUGAUUGAAGUCCGGGUUUGGGGUGUGGUUCAACCAGAAAUUGGUUGAACCAGGUCUCGUUGAACCAAGGUCUCAAACGAGACUUGAUUCUCGUUCGAGACCAAGGUCUCAAACGAGACAGCUUCAGAAUCGUGGUAAGGCAAGAUUCUGAAGCCUUAUUUUCCGCAAAAAUCCCCCCAAAUCUCCAACUGAAACCACCACGAUUUAAACCCUUUUUGUUUCUGAUUUAUUCACAAACCAUAGAUGUUCUCUUCCUCUAAAAAAAUCUUCAUGAAAUCUUUCGUCAAAUUUUCUGCGUAGUUCAGUGAGUUUUCAAGCUUUAAAAUUCUGUUUUGGAUACUUAUAAACGGCACCUUCGUUCAUCACUGAUUACUCCUUCGUUUCAGAUCCAAAUUCACUUCCGUUUGAUUCCUGAGAUUGUAGAUUCAUUCCUCUACGAUCCGACAUAUUAUUCUCGAAGAACGCCGUUUGAAGAUCGAAAUCAGUUUCGUUUAUUUCCCGUAAUAGUAGACUCAUUAAUCUUCGAGACCGAGUUUCGUUUUCGUAAAACGCCGUUUCUCGAUCGAAAUCAGUUCCGUUUGGUUCCCGUGGAAGUAGACUCAUUACUCUACAACUUUGCUUUUCGUCUCUCACCAAUCGACCCGUCGACUGCUCGUGCUUCGGAGUCUACGCAGGGUUAGCUGUUUGCCAAGAUCACGUGGAUAAGCAAGCAGUUUAUGAUUUGAAAGCUGGUCCACUCCGAUUCUUUUGAUUCCUCGGAGGUUUUUAUGUUAUUAAACUAGUUUCUAUUUUUCGAACUCUUAGACCGCAGUAGAACUAGUUAUUUAUUUCAUUGGAUUAUUAUACUUUGGGAUUAUCGAUUUGCUCGAUUAUUUAUUGGCAUGUUCACCCCGGAUUAUUUA